GAAAUGAAUAGAUACAUUUGUAGAAAAUGUUGUGUAAGAUAUAAUAAAUAUAUAGAACUGAGUAAUAUGCAGUAUACAACUGUUAGUAUUAGAGACAGAGGAGAAUUUUAUUUGAGAGUUCAAUGAUUGCAUACAUUACAUUUUGUAGACACUUGUAGAUUAAGCAACCGCAUGGAUAGUUUUACACUUACAUUCUCAAUACAUGUAAUUAUUUUUAAGUAUAUAGCAUAUAGUAGCGACAUAUAACUUUGCACUGGAUGUGUUUUUUCUCACAAGGGUUGAGAAUUAUUUUAGGACCAGAGUGGUUAGGUUAGACUAGUACUUCCGAAAAUGUGAGUAGGGGUAUCUAGUAUAGCUGCUACUGGUGAGAUUUACAUUCAUAAGUCAAGGUGACUAAUGGAUUGUAUAUCUAUGAAUGACACAUUGAUGUGUCUAUUUUCUGGUGUAUAUGUUUAUAAGAUGUCUUUCAUUUUGGUGAAGUGUUUACAGAGUUAAUUGGUUAUACCGUUAAUAGGACUUGGGAACAAUAGUACCGGUAGCUAGGUUAGCUGUGUGAAUAUUUGCAAACACUGUACAACAUUUUUGCAGUAUGAACAUUAUGUAUAUGUUUUGUUUGAAUUGACUUCAAAGUAUAGUUUUCUCAUGUUUGCUUUCUACUUUCAGCAAGUGUACUUGCUAAACAUUUACGUAUGCACAGCUUACUUGUCAUGGGGAUCAAACGUCUCCUACAUACAAGUGAAAGAAGUUCAUCACGCUACAGACGCUGAUAAAUGUGUAUAAAGCUAUGUGAUGAUAGACAGUGUGAGAUUGUUUCAAAAGUUUAACUAGAAAUAAAGCUUCGCUGUAUUUCGAGUUUUAAGAAGGGAGGAAUGUAACGGAGAUGCGCAGCUGUGUAAUAAUCUCCCUUUGCUAAACACGGAAUGAUGCAAAAUGAACCAUUUCACUGUCAGAGAAAGGAAUAACAAAGUGUAUAUUCAGAUAAAUUAUAUGGUAAUGAUUU
rnacentral:lncRNA from 1 species